GAGUUUGAUCAUGGCUCAGGAUGAACGCUAGCGGGAGGCUUAACACAUGCAAGUCGAGGGGCAGCAUAGGGUAGCAAUACUCUGAUGGCGACCGGCAAACGGGUGAGUAACGCGUAUGUAACCUACCCUGUACAGGGGGAUAACCCGGAGAAAUUCGGACUAAUAUCCCAUAACAAUAUCCGGGGGCAUCUUUGGAUAUUUAAAGUUCCGGCGGCACGGGAUGGGCAUGCGUAACAUUAGCUAGUUGGUAAGGUAACGGCUUACCAAGGCUUUGAUGUUUAGGGGUCCUGAGAGGGUGGUCCCCCACACUGGUACUGAGACACGGACCAGACUCCUACGGGAGGCAGCAGUGAGGAAUACUGGUCAAUGGGCGCAAGCCUGAACCAGCCAUCCCGCGUGCAGGAAGACGGCGCUAUGCGUUGUAAACUGCUUUUCCAGGGAGAGAAACUUGCGCACGUGUUGCGCAAUUGACGGUACCCUGGGAAUAAGCAUCGGCUAACUCCGUGCCAGCAGCCGCGGUAAUACGGAGGAUGCGAGCGUUAUCCGGAUUCAUUGGGUUUAAAGGGUGCGAAGGCGGACUAUUAAGUCAGUGGUGAAAUCCUGCAGCUUAACUGCAGAACUGCCAUUGAUACUGAUAGCCUUGAGUUUGGUUAAGGUAGGCGGAAUGUGUAAUGUAGCGGUGAAAUGCUUAGAUAUUACACAGAACACCAAUUGCGUAGGCAGCUUACUGAGCCGACACUGACGCUGAGGCACGAAAGCGUGGGGAUCGAACAGGAUUAGAUACCCUGGUAGUCCACGCCGUAAACGAUGAUUACUCGCUGUUGGCGAUACACUGUCAGCGGCUAAGCAAAAGCAAUAAGUAAUCCACCUGGGGAGUACGGCCGCA
rnacentral:rRNA from 1 species